AGCUAAAAAGCCUUCAUGGAAAAUUGGUUCAUCUUUUGCAUUAAAGAAGGUGGUGAAGAGUUCACCUAAAGAACAAAUUGACAUUGAUCCAGACCGGAUUGAUGAAAAUAGUCUUUUGACCGAAGAAGAUUUAAAGAAACCCCAGCUGCCAUCUGGUGAUUGUGAAAUCGGAAUUACAAGAAAAGCCUGCAAAAAUUGCAGUUGUGGGAGGGCAGAAGAAGAGGAAAAAGUGUUGAAGUUAGGA